UAUGAGACGAAACGAGACAGAGAUAGAACGAGAGACAAUUUUAUCUCUAUCAUAUAACGCAACGUCGUUCUAUCUUCGCCUCGCUUCAUCUAACG